rnacentral:lncRNA from 1 species
CUCUGCGAGUGCUGUGUGCAUGUCAAUCUCCUCGUCUCCCCCUCUGUUGAAGCCCAGACCCUCAGCCACAAUAGUCUAUUCAGAACUUUGCUUCUUGCUGGAUUCUUGUCCUGACUUCCAGUUCAUCAUAGUUUAUUCAAUAUACGCAGAGAGGGUCACUCUGUGAUCUGUGCAAACUUCAAAAACAAAACAAGAAACGAAAGAAAAAAAAAACCCAGCUGCCGGAGAACCUUGUGAAUAGUGGCUCCUGUCAAGUGUGGGCUACAGCUUUUAUCACCAUCAUCUGUAUUCCAGGUCCCCAGAUUUUGUCUUUAAGGCACACACCCGCCCUUGUGUGGCAGGCGGAGCCCUCACCUCCAGCCGCAGGCGCAGGGGACACUCUGGCUAGCAGCUGGGUGUCUGUCCCCACAUUAACCAAGACUGUGAGACUCCAUUUUCUGCUUCAUUUCUGAAUCUCCUGCAAGCCCCCCAGACACUGCUGGUGAGCUGUGCCCGGCCAGGGCUCCCCUGCGUUCUCUGCCCUGGGCACCCCCUUUGUGUGGGAUCGCAGCCCCAAGACUCUCUUUCCUGCAGGACCUUCUGGGAGGGGGGUGGUGGUGGUGGCAGGAAUCGGCCGGCUUGUUGCUCUGUUGCCUCCUGCACCAGCAUGUGAGCUCCACCAUGGAGGGGACCCUUUGCCUUGGCCUCAGCCCCCCGACAUCAGGCAGGCGCAGCACCCACUGAAUAUUUGUCGAACAAAGAAAUCGGCGUAUCUGGCGCUUGUUUGCAUUUAUAUGAGAAACCCUUGCAUUUAGAAAUCUCAUCUUUUUGUCAAUUUUCCAGCUUUGAGGGAGAGCUAUUAUUAAACUCUUUUGUCUGGUUGUCAUAGCAACCCACUGGCCUCCAGAGCUACAGGUUAUUUCUGAUGGGCAUGUUCCACCAGACAACUGAGCGCACGGCGUUUGCGAUUAUGGAAUCAUGCCGCUGUUCCAAAUCACAGUCCUCACCCUGCAUGUGUCUCGGUGUCUUGGAUAGUGAGAGCGGGGAGCUCGCCAGCAAACAGGCCCCUUCCGACGCAAAGGCUAUUCUUGCUGCUUCUCUCCCUUGCUCACUCUCUGGAUUUGAAGAUCAUUUUCUUUUGGACUCAUAGUACGUGUCAACGCUUAACCAAGAACCCUCCUGACCCUCAUCUGAUAACUGGAACAGCUCAAGAUUUUAUGGAUUUACACUUCCAUGUUCCUCUCAUGCUCCGGGUAGGAUUACAGUACCCUUUUCAUUUUGUCAUACUUCCUCCAAGCUUUUUUUUUUUUUUUUUUUUGAAAACAAGUUUUCUUACCAGGUCAUACUACAGAUUUAUUGUGAUUUUAUGUGAUUUUCUCACACUUUCUCAUUUCACAAGUCCUCUCUAUAGGGGAAAAAGGUUCCCUUAUCUACAUGCGCAUGUGCGCACACUAAUAUGAAGAGGCUGUACACAGGAGGAUGUUGUUUGCAGUGUUACAUUAGCAACGUUAAACAGUCACUAAAGUUCACCCACCAACAAAUAUUCACAGCCUAAGCAUAUACCCAAAUAUUCGGCAAACAUUUCUACUAAAGAACCAUAUGCGGCCUGUGAAAAAAAACAAGGUGGAUCUGUGUGCAUUGAGAUGGGAAGAUGUUUGCCAUAGAACUUGUUGUUGGGACUGUGUGACAUCUGAAACCCUUUCCUAUGUCUGCAUGACCUAAUGUUGUGUGACUCUCCUGGGGACCAGGGCUUCUCUAUGGAUGCCGAAAACUUCACAGGCAGGUCCUGUCCCAGACUCCUGGCAGAGAGCAUGUGGGGGAAAAACAUGAGCUCGCAUGGUCGUUUCCAGGACUUCCAAUCUCCAGAAGUGGCAUAAAGAAGCAGAGCUUUUAGAAUUCAUUCUGGGGAAGCAGCAGUAGCAGCAGAAAGAACAGCGACUUUUUGGGAGCAGCAGAGUAGCAGCAUAUUAAUAAGACUUUUUGAUGUGACUUUUCACUUCCUUUUAAAAUUGGUAUUACAUUCAAUUAAUUCAAAAUGCAAAGAGGACAAAAGCUAUACAUAAUGAGAAGUUCCCUCUCCUUUCUCCUGUCCAUCUUAUCCUUGUCCUGACACCUAGUUUUCUGAUGUUACUAAUUUGGGGUAUAUCCUUCCUUUUAGGGCUAUUUUCUGGAUACAUAUGACCAUAUGCAGAUCUUUCUCUUUUUUUCAUUAAUUCAUUAAUUCAUUCAUGACUAAAACUGUAGCAUGUUAUAUAAACUGCUUUUUAAAAGGAUUUUAUUUUUUUAUUCAUGACACACACACACACACACACACACACACAUACACACACAUACACACAGAGGCAGAGACACCAGCAGAGGGAGAAGCAGUCUCCAUGCAGGGAGCCUGAUGUGGGACUCUAUCCCAGGACUCCAGGAUCACGCCCUGGGCCAAAGGCUGAGCCACCCAGGUGUCCCUAUAAACUGCUUCUGAUCCCGGAGCACAUUCUAUAUCAGUGUGUCCAGGACGUGUUCAUUCUUUGAUAGUUAGAGUAGGCAUUGUGUAAAUAUAUCAGUUCCUAUGGAUGGACAUUUAGGGGAUGUAUAGUCCUUUGCUAUUACCAACAAUGGUGCCAUGAAUACCCUUGUAUUCGUGGUUUCAUAUCUUUGCCAAAGUUUCUGUAGGGCAAACUUCUCAAAGGGCAUGUACCUUUGGAAUUUUAAUGAGGUAUUACCAAAUUGCCCUCUGGAAAGUUUAUGGCAAUUUAUGCUCCUACCAGCAGUGAGUAGUGGUGCCAUUUCCCCACAUCCUCCCCCCAAAUGUGGGACUAGAUUAUUGAUCUUUGCUCUGACUUGAUUUUGACUUUAUUUCUGGCUGUUUGAGAAAUUUUGGAGGCACCUGGCUGGCUCAGUCAGUUGAGCGUCUGCCUUCGGGUCAGGUCAUGAUCCUAAGGUCCCAGGAUCAAGUCCUGCAUUGGCUCCCUGCUCAAUGGGGAGUCUGCUUCUCCCUCUGACCCUGCCCCAUCUUGGGUGCUCUCACUCACUCUCUCUCUCAAAUAAAUAAAGUCUUUAAAAAAUGUUUUUUGUUGUUUCUUGGGGGCACUCAGGUGACUUGGUCAAUUAAGUGUCUGACUCUUGAUCUUAGCACAGGUCAUGACCUCAAGGUCAUGAGUUUGAGCCCCACACAUCUGGCUCCACACCGGGCAUGGAAUCUACUUAAGAAAAAAAAAAAAAAAAAAGAAAGAAAAGAAAAGAAAAACAAACUUGUUUCUUCAUGUUUUCUGAGCUAGUACUCUGUGUUUCCAACACAUUGCUUUUGUUUUUGCUUAAUCAGAGGAAGUUUCUGUUAUUUGCAACCAAGAACCUAGACCUAGACAUCUAUAAUCUAUGAUCUAUCUUUGAAAGUAAAAUCAAAUUGAGGAAUAAUAGGCAUACAGUGAUUCUUAUUUUUAUAAAACCAAAAGAAAUCAAAACAGGGGCACCUGGGUGGCUCAGCAGUUGAACAUCUGCCUUUGGCUCAGGUCAUGAUCCCGAAGUCCUGGGAUCAAGUUCCACAUUCAGUUCCCCACAGGGAGCCUGCUUCUCCAUCUGCCUGUGUCUCUGCCUCUCUCUGUGUGUCUCUCAUGAAUAAAUAAAUAAAAAUUUUUAAAAAAGGAAAUCAGGGAUCCCUGGGUGGCGCAGCGGUUUGGCGCCUGCCUUUGGCCCUGGGCGCGAUCCUGGAGACCCAGGAUCGAAUCCCACGUCGGGCUCCCGGUGCAUGGAGCCUGCUUCUCCGUCUGCCUGUGUCUCUGCCUCUCUCUCUCUCUCUCUGUGACAUAAAUAAAUAAAAAUUAAAAAAAAUAAAAAAAUAAAAAAAGGAAAUCAAAAGCUAUAUACAUAUCGUUUAGAGAAAAUUCUGGAAGGACACAAACUAGACAGUGGCUGGUUGCCUCUGGAUGAGGGGCUCACAAGGUUAGGGGGACAUUUUAACUUUUCCCUUCAUAUACUUGAAUAUCACUGGAAAUUUUUAUGAUGAGUAUAUUAUACUUUUUAAAGUUUUAAAUUAAGAAAAAACAUAGGACCUUAAAAACUCCUCAAAUUCUUAAAUCUGCAGUGCCAUAUCAGUUUGCUCAGGCUGCCCUAACAGAACACCACAGACUGGGAGGCUUCAAGUAACAAUCAUUACUUUAAAAAAAAUUGGGGUCGGGGGUACUCCUGAGUGGCUCAGUGGUUGAGCAUCUUCCUUUGGCUCAGGGCAUGAUCCUGCUGUCCCGGAGUCAAGUCCCACCUGCAUCAGGCUCCCAACAUGGAGCCUGCUUCUCCCUCUGUCUGUGUCUCUACCUCUCUCUCUGUCUCUCAUGAAUAAAUAAAUAAAAUCUUUACAAAAAAAUUUUUUUAACAGUUGUUACCUUCAAAAAAAUUUUUUGAAGUAAUCUCUAUGCUCAAUGUGGGGCUUGAACUCGUAACCUUGAGAUCAAGAGCUGUAUGCUUUACCAACUGAGCCAGCUAGAUUCCCCAACAAUCAUUACUAAUAUCUAGUCACUGUUAAUUUUCUUUUUACAGCAGCAUCGUUUCACAUUGUUCUGAA